rnacentral:rRNA from 1 species
AAAAUAACGAUACGGGACUCAUCCGAGGCCCCGUAAUCGGAAUGAGAACAUCCUAAAUCCUUUAACGAGGAUCUAUUGGAGGGCAAGUCUGGUGCCAGCAGCCGCGGUAAUUCCAGCUCCAAUAGCGUAUAUUAAAGUUGUUGCGGUUAAAAAGCUCGUAGUUGGUUCUGCGUGCCACGCUGUCGGUUCACCGCCUGUCGGUGCAACUGGCAUGCCGUGGCAUGUCCUGUCGGUGGCGUGCAGGCUUCGCGGCGCUCCCUGCAUGAUACGUUGUGUAGGUCGUCGAGUAGUCCUCGUACGCCGUCUCAAUCCUGCCGCGGUGCUCUUUACCGAGUGUCGAGGUAGGCCGGCACAUUUUACUUUGAACAAAUUAGAGUGCUUAAAGCAGGCUCUUAAAUCAGCCUGAAUAGUGGUGCAUGGAAUAAUGGAACAGGACCUUGGUUCUAUUUUGUUGGUUUUAGGAAUCCAAGGUAAUGAUCAAUAAGGACAGGCGGGGGCAUUCGUAUUGCGACGUUAGAGGUGAAAUUCUUGGAUCGUCGCAAGACGCACUAGAGCGAAAGCAUUUGCCAAGUAUGUCUUAAUUGAUCAAGAACGAAAGUUAGAGGUUCGAAGGCGAUCAGAUAC